rnacentral:rRNA from 1 species
CUACGAAGGGGGCAAGCGUUGUUCGGAAUAACUGGGCGUAAAGCGCACGUAGGCGGAAUGUUAAGUUAGAGGUGAAAUCCCAGGGCUCAACCCUGGAACGGCCUUUAAUACUGGCAAUCUAGAGACCGAGAGAGGUGAGUGGAAUUCCGAGUGUAGAGGUGAAAUUCGUAGAUAUUCGGAGGAACACCAGUGGCGAAGGCGGCUCACUGGCUCGGUACUGACGCUGGGGUGCGAAAGCGUGGGAAGCAAACAGGAUUAGAAACCCUAGUAGUCC